CCCUUCCCGGGUGAGACCCCUUAGAGUCGCGAGCGCCCCACUGCACCCCAGGAGUUCACGCCUGCCUCCCAAGUGUAAGUUCUCCCGAGCGCUGACUUUUCGAGAACUCCUGGCCCGGCCUCGCCGAGACCUUCCGUGGCUCCGCCGCCCCUGUGCCGCCCCUGUCCCGUCCCUCAGACGUGGCUGCACCGCGGGAUGGGCAGUAUAAAGGGCCGGAGGCAGACCGGGCCGAGACCGAGACGUGGCGCAGCCGCCCUACCCGUCUAGGCUCCAGAGCUUGAAUUUUGGCCAUUAGGCUCAGUUGCCAGCCUAGAGCAGAGGAACAGGGUGGGGGCUGAAGAGAACAUCACCUGGACCAGGCAAAGAGGCUGCUGUGGACCACUGGUGCCCAUUAAGUGAAACCACGGUACUGGCAGUGUUGAAGAUGUGAUCCAUGGCAUUUAAGAACAAAAAAAAAAAAAGAAGAAGAAGAAGAAGAAGAAAGAAAGAAAGAAAGAAAAAGAAAAAAAAAACUUGAUUGUCUGAAUUAUCCCAUCAAUUAUUUUUUCUUAACAUAGCUAGACAUUGGUAAAAAAGAAGUGAAGUUUGAUGACUCAGUAAGAUUGCUGAGAGCUGGCUUUUUUCAUGUACUAUAAAUUACUUGGAAGACUCAUGAUUGUGGCUACAGGUGACACUGUGAUGUUCCCCCAAGUUUUGACUGAUGAAGAAUCUGAAGAUAGGGAGAUUUCCAGGAACCAUCUGCCCCUACUACAUUCUCUUGAGCUUUGCCAAGUUCCGUUUAGGGCUCUUUUCGUCCCAAGAAGCACACACUGCCCUCCAAAGCAGAGCUCACUCUGUUGGUGGUUACCGGUGAGCACACCAAUUCUAUUUCUAAAUCAACAGUCCACACUCCUCAAAAGAAAGUGGCCGUAGCACGUAUGAGAAUGACCACAAACGGGCACGUUGCAAAAUCGGGUUCCUGGUCCUUAACACUCUACCAGUCUGCACUGGAGACUCCAUCCAUCUGGUCCCUCUCUGACAUCUGAUUUCUACCCAGUUCUACCCAUGGCUGCCUCACCCUUCCCAGGUAGAGGGAUCUGCUCUGUAGUUGCUGGUUGUUACACAGAGGUUGAUACAGAAUGACCUGCCCUCACCAUUCCAAGUGAGUUCUUCUCACCUGUGAGUUCUCUUGAAUUCACUCCCCAGGUGAGAACCACAUCCUGCUACCUCAUGCCACAUUCAAGGGAGAAGCCCAGUUAAGUCCAGUGGUCAAAGCAAUGAACAGCUCAAGAAUGUAAGCACCUGAGCACACGUUCAGCAAGACACGCUCACUACCAGUUAUGGGGAAUGUUUCAAUAGCUGGGUUUUUUUCUUUUUUUAGGGGAGUAUAUAGCCAUCCUUAAAAUUUCAGUAGGACAUUGUAUUUUACUUUAGCCAUAUACAGAAAACCAAAGUAUUCUAAAAAUCUGGAAAUAUUUUGCCUUAUCUUUUGGGUUAUAUUUCUAGAUAUAUUUUUCUAGCAACCCAAUUUCCUUGAGAUAAAAUUGGUGUCCUCAAAACAGCCCAAGUUGUCUUUUAUAAGUAUGGUGCAGGGAAAGGAAAAAAUGCUAAGUUUAAAAGAUUUUUUGGAAUAUCUACAGGAAAUACAGAUGGUUUGUGGCAUGAAGAUAAAGCAUCCGUAUGGUUUGCUGAGUGUUAUUUUCUGACAUUGAGACUUGGAUAUAUCUUAAGUGCCUACGAGCAAAGAAUGGGUAUGCCUUUUUAAAAAAGAUAUUUGACACUUAUUAAUCAAUGUCCUCUGUAUUCCUGCCUUUGAAGCUAGAGCUUUGAGAGGAAAUAAGUACCUUUAGAAAUGUAUUUUCAAAAAUAGUGGUCACCCUCCUCAGAUUUAGAAGCACAAGUUCCUCUGACUUGGGAGAUUAACUCAUAAUGACCUUGAAUUCAAUGAGAACAACAUGUAUGAAAUUAAACCAAAAUGUCUUCAGAAGCAAAUCAGUAGGAAGCAGACCAUCAGGGAUCCUAAAGCCCUCUGUCAAAUCUCAUUUCAGACCCUCCUCUUCAUUCCCGUUAUUACUUCCUUGAUUCAGCAUGUCAGCUUCUCUCAUCCAAACACCAAAGCCUCCUGCAGGUCUCCCUGUCAUCGUACUUAUUCCCCAAACAGCAGCCUCCCAUCACCACACAUAUCAUCCUUCAUACACUGAUUUUAUUUAAAUUGCAAACUACCUGGCUUUCAAACAAGAACAAAGAACAAAACUUUCUUGCAGCUAGGUGAAACCACGGAACUUGGUGAUGACUUAGAUAUGCAAGGUGGGUGGAGUGUUUUGGAAAGCGUUAACUAAUGGGAAUGAUCUUUGCUGCCUUUCUUCCUGGAACUUGAUUGUGAUCGGUGAAAUUCCCUCUUGGACUGCAAGGUGACCUUGAGGAUGUAGGCCAUGAGCCAAGGAUGAUACGGUGAAAGGAACACGAGUCGCUGCUGAAACGGUGGCACCCCCAUCUCGGUGCUGAGUGACUGCACCCCAGACUUCAUGACAUGAGAAGCUCUGUUCCCUGUGAUUUAUUCCUCUUUGUUUCUGUUCUGUUUUUAGCAUAAGAAUGCAAUUGCUGCUGCGUAGAAUGCAGAGCAGCACAGAGGCCAUCCCUGCCCUUCUCGGGGUUACUGGGGAAGGUAGACGUUAACUAUGGAUCUGACACCUAUGUAAUUGUAAGUCCUGAUUAGUGCAAGGACAGAAAAUCGGGGAUAUGGGUUAGUCCAGUGACUCAGGAGAGGUGUCACUGAAAAAGUGGCACUUGAGUUGACAUUUGAUAGAAGAGACCAAUAAGAAAGUGGGGAGAUGGGAAGUGAGUAGACUCCAGAGAAGAGUAGAAAUACUGAUUAACAUUGGACUUUAAUUCAAGCACACUUAUUAUAAUAGCAAAGGCAGUGAUCAUAAUUGCAAAAGAAUAGCUAUAGAUAACUGUCUUAGGCCAUUGCACACUAAUAUAAAAAAAUACCUUGAACU